rnacentral:tRNA from 1 species
GCCCCAUUGGCGCAGUCGGUUAGCGCGUCGUACUUAUAAGUGAUUUGAGAGAUGCGAAGGUCAGCAGUUCGAGCCUGCUAUGGGGCA